AUUGAACGCUGGCGGCAGGCCUAACACAUGCAAGUCGAGCGGAUGAAGGGAGCUUGCUCCUGGAUUCAGCGGCGGACGGGUGAGUAAUGCCUAGGAAUCUGCCUGGUAGUGGGGGAUAACGUCCGGAAACGGGCGCUAAUACCGCAUACGUCCUGAGGGAGAAAGGGGGGGAUCUUCGGACCUCACGCUAUCAGAUGAGCCUAGGUCGGAUUAGCUAGUUGGUGGGGUAAAGGCCUACCAAGGCGACGAUCCGUAACUGGGCUGAGAGGAUGAUCAGUCACACUGGAACUGAGAAACGGUCCAGACUCCUACGGGAGGCAGCAGUUGGGAAUAUUGGGCAAUGGGCGAAAGCCUGAACCAGCCAUGCCGCGUGGGUGAAGAAGGUCUUCGGAUUGUAAAACCCUUUUAGUUGGGAAGAACGGGAGUUAAUUUAAAACUUGACGGUUUGACGGUACCCAAAAAAAAAGCCACGGCUAACUUCGUG
rnacentral:rRNA from 1 species